ACUGUGGGAAUUGCUGGAGAUACUAUUAGACUUGAGACCGGGAGAGGUUAGAGGUACUCCCAGGGUAGAGGUGAAAUUCUGUAAUCCUGGGAGGACCGCCUGUUGCGAAGGCGUCUAACUGGAACGGUUCUGACGGUGAGGGACGAAAGUUAGGGGCGCGAACCGGAUUAGAUACCCGGGUAGUCCUAACUGUAAACGAUGCGGACUUGGUGUUGGGGUGGCUUUGAGCUGCUCCAGUGCCGAAGGGAAGCUGUUAAGUCCGCCGCCUGGGA
rnacentral:rRNA from 1 species